rnacentral:rRNA from 1 species
AUGAUUCAUACUUGCUCCUUUCAUGCGGUUGAUGACAACCAUUACCAGGCUUUGCACAUGAUUCAUAUUGCUUCUUGUCAUAUAUCUUCAUAUGUUGCCUCUCUCAUGCUAGAUGAUUUGCCAUGUAUUGAGUGCAAUUAUGUCUUUAGUCUUGAUGUUGAGUUUGUCCCCAUAGCAUUCUCACAUAUAUUUGGAGAUUUUGACAUAUUUCUUGUGAAGCAUGCUUGCCUUCCCUCUUUGCACCAUAUUCCUAGUGCCAUGAAUAUAGCCAUUGUUGCAUCAUAUUAUUCAUGCACUUGUGCUUCUAAUGGUUGCGUGCAAAAGAUGAGAACCAUCAUGAUGGAUGAUGUGUUUAUCUACCAUGUGCAUACGUUCUUUGCUUUGUUUUGUGCAUGUGUAGGAUACUUGGACUUCGUGUCGACUUCCAUUUCACAUGAGUUAACCAUUCAAGCUCUUGAGAGUGAACCACCUUCUACCACGAAGAUUAUACAUCGCACUUGCUUGUGUUUUGGCAUUGUGAAGGACGCACAAGGACAUGCUUUCCAGGUGAUAGCAUUCUCUUUUGAGAACCUCCAAACCAUGAGCUUGGAUAUUAUGGAUCAUACUACUUGUGUUGCUUGCUUCAUUAAACUUUUUGGUCAUUUUGGACCACUUGAUUGCGCACAUGUUAGAGAUCUUGCUUGGAUUUGUCGUUUCCACAUUGACAUGCCUCAUGACAUAUAUACCUUGUGUGUUGCAUCCAAUUCUUGGACUACUUACUUCUAUCAUAUGCUUGGUUGCAACAAUGUCAUUUCUUCACAUACGACAUGUCCCAUUGCUUGCCACAUGAUUAACUUGAUUGCCUCACACAUGUUGAACAAUUCCAUUGUGUUGAGUGCCACACUAUAUUCGCUGCACCCUAUGCACGUUAUGCUUGGCUUGGCUUGCACUUGA